rnacentral:misc_RNA from 1 species
GUAAAGAGCCCUUAGAGCUGCUGAUUGAUAUUAGGCCAACUGAUAUUUUCUCAAAAUGAUCCAAGCCCACAAGAUAAAAUGUGCAUUAGUGUUUACAUUUUCAAAAUUACAAUAAAAAUGACAGAAUUAUUAAGGAGACAAAUAACAAUACAGCUGAGAGCAACAGAAGCUCAAUCCUUCAGCAAAAGGCUAGCUCCAAAACAUUAAGAUUUGUUUGGUGGAAUGUAAAGCCAGAUGGAUAUAUGCUGCUCCCCGGUGCCUUCUUUCCACCUUUAGGACAAAAGUCCUACAACCACUCCCCCCUGUAAUUUAGAAAUCUGCUGUCAUCUUUCUAACAAAAGCACAAGUUAUUCCCCAACUUAAUCUGAAAUGAGUAAACAGACUUAAAGUUCCAGCCUAGUAUCCCCCCAGUUUGCAUACCAUAAUACACAAGAAGACGUGUACAAACCACAAAGGGCAAACUUAAAAGAAAGCAAUCUCAUCUUGCAAACCAUGAGACAAGGGACGAUAAUGUGCUCUUUUCAGAGGAAGUUGAACAUUCCAGAGAGAUCAAUACGAGAUAAAUAAUAAUAACACUAUUAAGAUAGCUAAAUGACUCGAUUUCUUCAGAAGCUAUCAAUAAGUUUAUGAGUGCUAAGAAAAUGAAAAAGGCCUCGUGGGAUUCUAGCAGUCCUUAGAUAAUUGCAUAACAGCAAGUCUAUACAUCAAAUUCAUGAGCUUAACAGCAGAUUUCAUGUCCAGCUCUGCCACAGAUUUGCUUUCCAAGCAACAGCGAGCUAAUGUUUAAUUAAACCUCACUCAGUAUUUCUCUAUAAACAUCUGCAGUGUUAAUCAAGUCCUUGUUACCAUUCCUGUGUAACCUUGCGGUACCUGCUUUUUCAGCCUUUCACCUUACAACUCCCCUCAAGAACUAGACAAUUUCACACUGACAAACACAUGCAAAAUAAAGUUUCGAUUCUAUAAGCUGAAAUUUCAAUGUUUCUCUUCUAAUGACACCAUUACCCCCAUAGAAAAAAAUUAUCUCAAGUAGGAUGCACAUUUCAUUAAGCUUUAUUGACAGUCAUUCUCAACGACCUAGUGAAAGCUCAGUAUCAAGUGAUAAAUAUGACUUGUGUCAAAUUAACUUCCAUCAUGUAUCAACCAAAUAUGACAUAACUUGAAUUAAAGUACAACAGAAGCCGGGCACUAUUCAAUCCAAUCAUUGACAACCUAUGCUCAACAUGUAACCAAUUCCCAUCUUUUCUAAAGAAAAAUCCCAAACGAGGGCAUUUCAAAUGCAGGUACUGCUCAAUUAACAUAGGCAACAUCGACUGGAAUAUGUAUUGGCCUACAAAGACACAGAAUUCAACAAGAUACGAGGGUCAUGUAGGUUCUCUGGCUGCUAUAUACUUGUAAUAAUAAAAUAGCUCCUUUGGGGUUUAAAUAGAACCACUAACAAGAAGGCAAUACACUAAGAGUAAGAGGAAGAAAAAAAGACAAAACAAGAAAACCGCGUUGGAUUUGGUUGGGGUGGGGGUGAGUGGGGCGGGCGGGUGGUGGUGGUGUGUUGGUUUGUGGGCGCGGGGCGUGCACAACCUUCACUCCCCCAUCCUGCUAUUUGAUAUUGAGGUCAUAAAUAAGAAUUAGGCCAGCAUGUACUAGCCAAUGAGUGAACAAGCAUCAUAAUGCUAAUUUGCAAAAUUAUGAAGGUAUCAACAGAGCUACAGUUACCGUAUAGAACAUAGACCAUACGAUUGAAACAAAGUCUAAUCCAGUCAAUUCAAACUUGCCAAAAUGUAUCAAGUAAAACAGAUAAACCCAAUUAAGAAGAAGCGUAGUUUUUAUUUUGAAAAGAAGAGAAGAUGGCAGCUGAUACACAAUAAGAUGAUUAUUCAGCCGCUAGCAGAAUCCUAAAAGCUCCUAAUCUUCCCUGCUAAAUUUUCUGACCAAAACUAAUGGAGAAUAUCUCCUCAUAAUUGAUGUCAAUACUGUUACAAUACCAACCAGUUAAAAUUUUCCCAAUUUGACUGGUAACCCAUAAAAAAUUGUGUAAUUGUUAAAUACCCAUGUCAAUCUACUUGUUCUUGAUAGUGACCCCAAGCUCACCUGCAACAAUUACAGUAGUUGCCAUACCAAGAAACAUUCCAUGUUCCACAACCCCAGCUAGCCUCAGAAUAGCAUCGCUAGCAGCCCUUAAAUCACCAAUAUCCUUCUUAAAAUAUAAAUCCACAAUAUAGUUCCCAUUAUCAGUAACAAAAGGCUCACCAUUUCCACCGCCAUUAGUCCUCAACUUGGCCAUGCAACUCGCGUAGUCGAACAACUGUUGAAGCCUUUCUUGCGUGAAUUUCCAACAGAAAGGCACAAUCUCAACUGGCAUCGCCCCAUUGGCUCCAAUAUGGGAUACCAAUUUAGACUCAUCUACAAUAACUACAAACUUUUUGCAAGCACUUUCAAUCAUUUUCUCCCUGAGUAAAGACCCACCUCGGCCCUUGACCAAAUUGAGAUCGGAGUCCACUUCAUCUGCGCCGUCGAUUGCUAGAUCGACGAUGGGGUGGGAAUCAAGAUCGGAUAAAGGAAUACCGAGAGACAAAGCUUGUUGGUGCGUCUUUUUGGAAGUGGGUAUGCCAAUAAUGUUCUUUAAUUUGCCUUUGCGCAAUAGAUCAGCAAUACGGUCGACGGCGUGUUUGGCGGUGGAGCCAGUGCCGAGGCCAAGAACCAUGCCGGACUGGACGAACUCGACGGCUUUGUAAGCAGCAAUCUUUUUCAGCUCGUCUUGGGUGAGGACAACUUGGGGUGGUGAUGAGAGAGGAGACAAUGGGCCUGCCUCCAUGGACAGCUUUUCUGAACCAAGAAGAGGAAGACAAGGAAUAGCCAUUUUCUUUGCUUUGAAAUAAAAACAAGGAAAAAAGAAAGAAGAAAGCAGAGGGGGAGAAAAGGACUGAGGUUAUCUAAAAAAGAGGCUAAUGAGAUAUCAUAUGGGGUUUUAUGUGUGGUGGAGAGUAGAGAUUAGAAAGAGAUAGGGUUUGUGCGUGGGGGAGAUGAAGAAGAAGAAAUGAGGUAGUGGUUUUAUAGAGGAGCGGGAAG